UCUAAGGAACUCCUUUCACUGGCCGGGGGUCUUGGAGAAGGUGGGGGUUCCUCCCGGGUUACAAGUCCCCUCUUCCACACCCCUUCAGACUCCAUGUUUGGGUCCCCCCCACGAGCACUCCCUUCCUGGAAGCCGUCUUUCUCUCUCCUGGAUCUCCCCCAUGGAGUCCCCUUCCGCAGUCUCCCCCGGAAGACGGUCUUCCCUCCUGAACUCCGUCUCUCUCUAUUCCCUUCCGCUCUGGGUGGAAGCGGCUUUCCUCUCCUGGAUUCUAUCUUUCUGGAUUCUCACUCAGUGUGGGAGUCACCUGUUUCUCUGUCUCUAAAGAAAUCACUUUCUACACACACUUUUGAGUCCGGCAUUGACUGCACACUGCGCCGUGGGCCCCUCUCAUUCUCCGGAGAGCAGGAAACCAAGAACCUGGAGAAACAUCCUCUCAGGGGAGCUGAGGGUACCCUGAACCCCAACAUUACAUUUUGGCGAGCCAGCCAGGAGAGGGGUACACCACAAGAGGAGGGGUACAGCCGGAGAGGACGACUUCAGAAUUCUGCUGCUUUCUUAACUGAACAAGAAGGAACAUUGGAUCUAGACCCAAGGACAUUCCUACAGUAGAUCCAGAAAGGCGACCCAGUGUGGAAAGAAGAUAAAUCAUUUUCUAACGAAAAACAGAGUGACGUCUCUUUUCCUGGCUAGACACUGAUAGAUACAGGCCUGCUGACUUUCAGACUGGAACUUACACCAUCAAUUUUCCUCGUUUUCAGGUCUUCAGACUUGAACAGCAACUACACGUGAGCUUACUUGGGUCUCUAGCUUACAAUCUGCAAAUCUUGGGACUUCUCAACCUCUGUAAUUGCAUGGCUACUUCCUUGUAAUAAUUCUUUCUCUUUCUGUAUAUGUGCAUCCUGUUGGUUCUGUUUCUCCAGAGAACACUGACUUUUAUACUCUCUAAAUCAAAGUAACACAGGUUCCUUGUGGCAGAGGGAGGAUGCAAGGAAUUUAUGAAAAGAUCAUCCUACCUUGAACUUAAAAUAUGGAGAGACAAAAAAGAAACAUAUGAGAAGUUAAAUAAUAUGUUUAAGUAAUACAUGUCCUUCAUGCAGAUAUCAUCAGAGAAGCCUUUUUGGAGAAGAGAUUUCAGAUGCAUCACAAAGAAUGAAUAAACAGAGAGAUGACAUUCUAAGGGUGAAUGUCACAGAGGAAAUUGUAGCAUGGCAAUGAGUAGAUAUUAAUAAUUCCAGAAGAAGUGUUGACUUGAUCCAGCAGGAAAAUGCUCACAGAUGCCUGCUGUCCCUCAGCCACCUGUCGAUUCUGCCGCCAUGGCCCCCACAAGUCUCUCAUGCUCCUGUCUGCUUUUCUGGGUAUGUCCCCAAAACAAGACUUGGCCAGGUGUGAUGGCUCAUACCUAUAAUCCCAGCACUUUGGGAAGCUGAGGCAGGCAGAUCACUUGGGGUCAGGAGUUCGAGACCAGCCUGACCAACAUGGUGAAACCCCCAUAUCUACUAAAAUAUAUACAAUUUAGUUGGACUUGGUGGCAUGAGCUUGUAAUACCAGCUCAGAGGGAGGCUGAGGCAGGAGAAUCACUUGAAUCUGGGAGGAGGAGGCAGCAGGGAGCCAAGAUCAUGCUGCUGUACUCCAGCUUGGGCAACAGAAUGAGACUCUAUCUCAAAAAAAAAGAAAAAAGAAAGAAAGAAAAAAGAAAACAAGGUCCUGACUGCCAGCUAACACAAAUAUGCUGAGGAUGUUCCUGCAAUGUGCUGGCCCUACAUUUGCCAGUUUUAGUAAAUAAAAUAAAGAACACCCAGUUAAAUUUUAAUUUCAGAUAAAUAAUACAUUGUGUUUUUUCAGUAAAAGGAUGUGCUAUGAGUAAUGAAGUCCUUGGUCUCUGAACCAGGAGCCUUGUGUAUUCUGCCAGAUUAAAGACUGAAAUGCAGACUGAGGUCAGAUUGUGGAGGGCACAGCUAUUAAUUGCAAUUGCAGGAAAGAAAGCUCAGGGCUCCCACUGAUUCUACAUUAUGUGACAAAAACAGAAACACAGAGAAGAAGGCCACAAGAAGAUGGAAGCAGAGGUUGGAGUUAUGCAGCCAUAAGCCAAGAAAUGCCAGGGAGAAAGAUGCCCUACCCAGAAGAGAGGCAUGGAACGGAUUCUCCCCUGGUGUCUUCAGAAGGAACCAACCCUGCCCACUACUUAACUUUGGACUUCUGGCUUUCAGAACUAUUCUGAGACUGGAAGGAAAUGUGGAGCUUUGGAAACGUGUGACUCACGGGCUGCUAGGGCUGAUUGGUCUAAGCUUUGGAGGCACCGAGGGAGCUUCACUGGAUCCAAAGCCCACCUCUCAAGACCCAGGCACCUGGACAGCAUCCUCCACUGGGGCUGAGCAGCUGCAGCAGCAGGACAUGGGACUGGGAGCUGUUCUGAUCCACGCUGUGCAACUUACAUGACAAGGAUAGAGGGAGAUUCAUUUUGUAAAGCCUUAAUUUAUCUAUAAAUAUAAGGCAUUGAAUUAAUAGAAGAGUGAGUUUAAAAUUUUAUAUGGCGAUGAGCUAUUUUAUAUCUGGAGUACAUUGAAUUUAUCUGCUGAGUUUAGUUAAAUGAGACAACUCAGUAUAAUUGAAAGUGAAAAAUAAAUGAAGUGGCUUCUUGAUUCAGUAUUCAUUGCAACACUGGGAUAAAUUUAAUUAAAAUAUUUUUGGGGACAGCAGACAAGAUAUCUAUAAAAGUUCUAAAGACUGAAUGCCUAUAUCAUUCAUUCUGUGUGGAUUUAUGGAAACAGUGCCAAGGAUUGAAAGUCAGCCACUGGAUUUGCUGAAAUAAUCAGAUAUUAAAGAAACUGAGAACUCUAACCUUACAUCUUCACCAAACUGAAUUCCAGAUUGAAGAAAAGGGUUAAAUAUAACUCAUAGGCUUAAAAGCAUGAGAAAAAGACACAAGUAAAAAUUAUGUAGCAGCCAAGGACUCUCUAAACAUGACCAAAAUCAGAAAUCAUAGAGGAAAUAUUAACAGAUUUGAUUUUUAAAAAAUUCAAAGGGAAAAAGCAAAGCAAAACAAAAGUACAUUAUGUCAAAAGACAAUAUAAACAAAUUGCAAGGAUGAACAAAACCCUUGGAAAAUAUUUGCAGCGUAUGCAGUGGAGUCGAAUUCUUUAUUAUAGAAAGAGCUCUUACAAUUUAAUAAGGAAAGGCAGACAGUGGAAGAGACACAAAGGGUGUAAAAGGAGCUGAAGCUGUAUCUGUUGUCAGUAAGUUUAUGAAGUGACGGGCCACCUAGUCAGGAAUCAAAUUUGCUUAAAUAUCAAGGUGCCUGUUUAUCAGAAAGACAAAGAAGCAAAUCGAGUGAUAUGGAGACAUCCAUACUGCUUUUAAACAUUGUUAGUGGAAAGGUAAUGACAUAGGCUCCUGGGGAUGGGGAGAGGUUUGUUAAAGGAUACGAAAUUACAGCUAGGUAGGAAGGACAAGUUCUAGUAUCUAGCACUCUAGGGUGGCUAUAGUUAACAAUAUGUAUCUAGUUCAAGUAGCUAGAAGGAAAAUACUGAAUCUUCAUGACACAAAGACGCGGUAAAUGUUUGAGAUGAUGGGUAUGCUAAUUACCCUGAUCUGAUCACUAUGCAUUGUAUGUUUGGAAACAGCACUCUGUACCCCUUAAGUACGUACAAUUAUGUGUCAAUAGAAAAUAUUUAUAGUGAAAAACCCUAGUGUAUAUUCUUCUGGAGAGCAUUGUGGCCAUCUGUAUCAAAGCUUACAAUAUGCAUAUGCUUUCAAGCAGAAAUUUCACGUUCAUUUAUUAAUCUUAAAGAAGUAGUAGCGGAUAUGUGCAAGGACUUAUCCACGAAGUUAUUUAUGGAAGUGUUUUAUAAUAGGCAAACAUUGGAAGUAGCCUAGAUAGGCAGUGAUGGGCAUUGGUUAAGGAACUCAUGGUAUGAACAUAUAAUAGAAAAGUCUAUAGCUAUUAAGAAUUAUUUGUGUCCUUUUUGUUGAUUUUACAUUAUGUGGAUAAUGGUUAGGUGUAUAAGCUCUGAGGUCAGCCCCCUGGCACUGAGCCUAGGCUUCAAUUCUUGCUGGCCGUGUGACUUUGAGCAAGUAACUUAACCUGUCUGUGCCUUGGUUUCUUCGUCUGUAAAUUAGAGGCAUAUAGUACUACCUACAUCAUAGGUUGGUUAUAAAUAUCAAUUUAACUAAAAUGCUUAGAAUAAUAUUAAGUCUAUAACAUUAACCUGAGGAACACUAGCUAUUUUUAUUCUAUUGCUUAGUGAAUAAAAUAAGCUACAUUUUUGUUGAAAUACUUUGUGUCUGCAGAAGAAAUGAUUUGUUCAGGAAUCUAAUUGCUGGAAGAAUUAAAGAGUGGCAUUGCUCUACAAGAUUUUCUUACAUGUUUAACCAUGUAAUGGAAUCACAUAGAGUUACAGAGCUUCGGAAAAGAGUGAUCCCCUUGGCUGCAGAUGACAACGGGCUGCUGAAGGAAUAGCUGUGCUGAAGAAAAACAUGUAUGUGUGUUCUUAGAGAUUACACACAAACGCACGUACACACAGACUACACACACCAAAUGCGGGCCAAAAUAUGAAUCAGAAUCACUGCAUCUCUGUAUUAUUUUGUUCUUUUGGAAGUAAGAUAUCUAAACUCCAAAAAACAUUAAUUUGGAAUAAUUGGGCUUUGGGUGCCAUUCUUCUCUAAUAUGUCUGCAUCUACAUCUAUAUCAAAUGAGAAAAAUACAGAAGUCAUACAUCCAAAGAUUAACGGUGAUUAUCUCUGCAUGGUGCCUUUAGUUUGUGUUUUUCUAUGUUUUCAAUAUUUUAGCAUUUGUUUUUGCAAAGAAAAGCUAUCUGAUAUAGUUAGGCUUUGUGUCCCCACCCUAAACACCUGGGGAUUAUAAUUCAAGAUUACAGUUCAUCUUAAUCUUGAAUUACAGUCCCCAGGUGUUUAGGGAGAGACCGGGUGGGAAGUGAUUGGAUUAUGCAGGCAGUUUCCCCAUCUUACCCUCCUGAUAGUGAGUGGUUCUCCUGAGAGCUGAUGGUUUUACAAGUGUCUGCCAUUUCCCCUGCUUGCACUCUUUUCUCUGCUGCUGCCUUGUGAGAAGGUCCAAGUUUGCUUCCCCUUUGCCUUCCACCACGAUUCUAAGUUUCCUGAGGCCUUCCCAGCCAUGCAGAACUGUGAGUCAAUUAAACCUCUUUCCUUUAAAAAUUAUCCAGUGAUAUGGUUUGGCUGUGUCCCCACUGAAAUCUCAUUUUGUAGUGUAGUUUCCAUAAUCCCCACGUGUGAUAGGAAGGAGCAGGUGGAGAUAAUUAAAUCAUGGGGUGGUUUGCCCUGUUCUCAUGAUAGUGAGUUCUCACGAGAUCUGAUGGUUUUCUGAAAGGCUUCCUGUUUCACUGGGCACCCACUCUUUCCCUUUUCUCUGCCGCCCUGCGAAGAGAUGUCUCCUGCCAUGAUUGCAAGUUUCCUGAGGGCUCCCCAGCCAUGCUGAACUGUGAGUCAAUUAAAUCUCUUUCUUUUUAAAAUUGCCCAGUCUCAGGUAUGUCUUCAUAGCAGCCUGAGAAUGGACUAACAUGCCCAGUCUUGGAUAUUUCUUUAUAGCAGUGUGAAAAUGGACUAAUGCACUAUUUUUGAUAGAAGGGGAGUAGCUUUGCAAAAGGUUUAGGUGCGUCUUUAGUGUAGCUGUUGACUUUUUCCCUCAGUGAAAACCACAGCCUUUAUCCCUGUUUAAUUGGUGGUUGUUUAUGUGGCUAGGGGAUCCUGUUCAUGCCACUCUAACCUCUUACCCCACUCUUUCUCUCUCACUCCAUACCCAGCAGGGGAGGCUCUAGUUUGUUCCUAGACUGUGUGCCACUGGGCUGAGGGUGGGGACUGUGAGCAGGGCUGGGCUGGAGGCACAGCUGCUCUGGCUCUGGGCCUUGGCCCUGCCUGGGUUGCUCUGUGCCACUCUUCUCUCCCCUCAUGAGGCUGGGGUAGUUAAGCAUUUGGAAGGGUGUCUCCUCCACAGACCCCCACUGAAAAAGAUGUUCUAGAAAGCCCGUGCAGUUUACUUCAGCCUGCCUCCAGUCCUGGUAAAGGAGAGCUCAUUGUUCAUGAUGGACAGGCCAGGUUGCAGGGAAGGAGGUGAGGUAAGAAUAGAAACUGGGUCUUUGCUGUCUCUCAGAGCCCCACAGAGGCACCAGUGCCACAGCAGUGGGUGUCCUAAAGCAUCCUAUGGUCCUGGGUCUUUGUCACAGACAGAUCAGCGUAAGUGUGAUGUUAAGAAGACUGCAAUGUGGGAAAUGGUUCUCUCCAAAAUUCUUAAGUACCUGACCGCCUUCAGAAGUACUCUACGGAGCAGCACUAGCACCUGGGCAGUCACUGGGUGGGCAGUACUAUCUGUCUGCCUUUCAGGGCAUCUCAUCACUCACUCAUUCCAGAAGCUGGCAGGAUGUAGCUCAGGUAUCCACUGUGAUGGACUUGGUGACCUUCUGAUCUUCUGGUCCCACAGACUUCUCUCCAUUGAAGUCUCCUCUAUCUCUCACCACUGCCUCACCUUUUGACACAGGGAUCUAGCUCUUCAUUUUGACCCUGAAGACCCUGGUCAGAGCAGGCAUGGGCAACCAGAGUGACCUAAGAAUGCUUGACUCUUGAUAUUAUGGCCUGUUUUGGGAUCUGUUGUCCUGGAAAGAGGUGUGAAUGGUGCUGUGAAGUCCACUCAGACUCCCAGACUGCUCUGUCCUGGAGUGAGGGAAAGGGCGGUGGUGAAGCUAGCUCCAGGCCACAUGCAGGUAUGCAGUGUCCUCCCUGCACUGACCCCCUCAUUGCCUGCAUUCCUCUCCUGCAGGAGGACAUCCUUUGGACUCUGGCCCCUUUGACAGCUGGGACCUACUCUCUUUUCUCAUCCUUACCUUCAGAUUCGGAUUUGUUUCUAUAAUCUCUUUGUCUUGAUGUCUGAAGCUUUCCUUGGGGACAGUGGUGGUAGAUGUCUCUUGACUGGGGACCCACACAUGGAUGUAUCUCCUGUUCUUGAACCUGCCCUUCCACAUCCUUGCUUAGCCGUGGCUCCACCGCUAUCCUGGUCCCCUUGCCCAGGAGGAAAGACCCAGGGCAAAGAUACAAAUUCCUCUAAAUUAAUUUGUGAAUCUGGUGGGGCACGGUGGCUCAAACCUGUAAUUUCAGCACUUUGGGAGGCUGGGUAGAAUCACUUGAGGUCAGGAGUUUGAGACCAGCUGGGCCAACAUGAUGAAACCCAUCUCUACUAAAAAAAUACAAAAAUUAGUUGGGCGUGGUGGUGGGCAUCUGUAAUCCCAGCUACUUGGGAGGCUAAGGUAGGAGAAUCACUUGAACCUGGGAGGCGAAGGUUGCAGUGAGCUGAGGUUGUGCCACUGUACUCCAGCCUGGGUGACAUAGCGAGGUUCUGUCUCAAAAAAAAAAAUUAUGAAUCUAAUGCAAUUUUAAUCAAAAUCCUAGUGAUUUUUUUUUCUUGGGAUGUGGCAAGCUAAUUCUACCUUACUAAAAUUGAUCUAGUAGACGAAGUGGUUAAGACUAGUCAAAAGUUUUUCAAGACAAAAAUAUUAUGGGAACUUGUACUGGAAAGUCAAAGUAUCCUAGGAAGCUAUGGUUUUUUGCUCAUAAAAUGGAGGAAAAGAUGCUUUCUUGCAGGAGUUUUUGAAAAGAUAAUAAGGCAUAAUAUAUAAAGUCCGUGGGAACUGAUAAGUGGCAGUGGAGGUUAUUUUAUUCUUGACGUAACUUAGAUAAAUGUGUGGGGUUGGGGGCACAGUGAAAGCAGCACCUGCCUUCUCAUGUCUGCUGCUGAACCAGGAAGGGCUUCUGGAUGGGAAAGGGGAAGUGUCUGGUAUGGGACCCAGAAGAGAAGGAAAAAACUCUAAGCACCCCCAGCUGACUGAAUGGACCCCCUCUUGGCCAAGAGGACCCCAGAGAAACCUUGGAAGUUUCAUUCCCAGCCAUGACGAUGGGAGGUUGAACAUGCCUCGUUGUCUCCCAACCCUCGAUAACCGCCGUUAGGCUUUCUUCCCUAAGGGCUGAACAGAAACCAGCCCUUUCAAAAGACUGCACCACUGAGUUCAACCAACCACCUGGUGCUGCUCCUGCCUCUGGCAGUUUUAAAACGACCCCUGAUUCUCUCCUGAAGAGAGACCCUGGACCACGGGGUGGUUCUGCCCAGUUUAGGGAGGAAGUGCAGUGAGGGUUUUCAUGUCCUCUGCUUCACCUUUGACAUCGGAGGUGUAAAACUACUCUUGUGUCAUGCUAAGGCUGCAGUUUUUGAACGUGGUCCCAUAGGGAAGCAUGAAGCUCAGUUGCACAUGAGCAUGCUUCUCCUCAUAAAUAUUCAAGGCUCCUCCUGUAGCUUAUUGAAUAUGUAUGUUUGGCUGCCUAAUAUAGCAUGAAUCUGUCUUAUGGAUGUUUGUGGGGUUAUGGGGGUGAGCACAGUAAAACGCCCUUGAAGUUCCUAUUUCUGGCUUCUGAUUGUAAGCUAUGAUUCCCAGCCCACAUGUUGCAAUAUUUUAUGAGAAUCAAAGCUCUCCUUUCUAAAUUAUGAACCUCGUCAUUCUUCCACUGAUACAGAGCACAUCGAAGGGCUAAAGUAGCAGCUACAAUUGUGCUGCUGAUCAAGGACACGUGUGGUUGAGGGCCUUUUAAAUCAGUCAGGAACUCACUGAUACGUGUUGUGUUACAGGGUGGAUUCCCUAGUGGUUUGAUCGUGAGUAAGUUACUUAACCUCUUUAGACCUUUCUUCUCUAAUAUGGAAAGUGUGAAUUAAUAGCUACCACCUAUAAUAUUGCUGGAAGCAGCAAAUGGUAGUAUAUGUAAAGCAUUUAGCGAUCUGCUUUUUUGUUGAACUCUCUGGACAAUAUCUGGGUGCCCUAUAAUUUAACUCAAUUCUAACGCUACCAGGAUUUAGCAGACCCAGCAAGACUGCCCCCCAUUUCAGAUGCCAGUUGCAAGUGGUGGGUCCUCCCCAGAUCACCUACAACUUCUGUCUGACUUGGCUACAAAUUGGGGGUUUCUACAACACCCUCCUUAGAUUGGAUAAUUUGCUCUAACGGCUCCUAGAACUCGGGGAAACACUUGCCUUAUGUUUACCUGUUUGUUAUAAAGGAUACCCCUCAGGAACAGCCGAACAGAAGGGAUGCACAGGGCAGAUUUGGGCCAGUAUGCAUGGAGCUUGAUGAUCUCUCUGGUUAUGGCACAUUCCUAGCACCUGGAUAUGUUCACCACGCUGAGAGCUCAUCCUGUCUUGCUGUUCCAGAGCUUUCAACAGAGGUUAGUCUCCAGCACCCUCUCCUUUUUUGGAGGUUGACUGAUGGGGCUGAAUGUUUCCAUCCUCUACUACUUGGUCUUUCUGGCGACCAGCCACAUCCUGAGGCUCUCUAGGGGUCCCACCUUAAGUCACCUCAUUAGCAUGAACUCAGGUGUGACUGAAGACACUCCUCUCACUCUAGAAAUUUCAAAGGUUUGAGGGACUUUGUGCUAGGAACCAGGAACAAAGACCGAAUAUAUUUAUUGUUAUCUCGCAGUGUAUUGCCUGGCACACAGGGAGUACUCCAUGAGUGGAGGCAGUGGUUAUUUUGGAGGCAGAUAGUUGGUUUGGCUGCACUUUGCAGGAAAAGGGUGACUGAACCAGGAAACUGAGGGCUCUUGUGGUCCAGAUCUAAAGCAAGAGCUCCAGGUUGAGUGAGGAAAGAGGUAAGAACAAGACGGGAGAUUCAUAACAUGCAGAUACCCAGGGAGAUGGGAAUGAUUCUCUUAAUAUUCCCAAGUGCACUAGUAGUCAUCCACAUGGCCUUCAGUCUGUUCUGGAAGCAACCUCAGAACCAUAUGGGCAGGAAAUUUUGGGCCUAGAAUAUCUGGGACAUGAUCUAUAAGGAUAGCGGGCUGGUUCUCUGGACUUGUAAUUCCUUGCCAUAUCCAAGGUGAGGCUCCUGAAUGUCAAGGUAGCAUGCAGGGCCUUUGCCUGCCUGAGCUGAGGACUCUAUGGCUUGUCUGGACAGCUUCUAACUGCAGCAAACUAGAAAAGGACACUUGUCCAUCAGAGUUGUUUUUCUUCAUUUUCCGUAGAGUCUUUCUCACGUGAUUGCAGUCCAAAGCAAUGCCUGGGGACCUUGUGCCUGAAGCAUGAGGAUCUUGACUUUCUGGCUUUGUCCUCGUGUUCUCUUUAGGCACACUGUGACAAUGAGAGGAUAUCUCUUCUAAAAAUGGAUGUGAAUUCUUUUUAAACCUCGAAGUUCCCCACCAUCUACACAGGACUGAGCUUGGAGAGGAGAGUUCUUUUCUUCCCUUAGGAAAUCCUUAUCAUAGAGUGGCAGGAACCCCCCUGCCCUUCAUGUGGGUGGCAAGCAGUGAUAAAAUCAGCGUCUCUUCAAUCACCAGCUAACAGGGAGCAAGGGGAUUAACUGGUGCUCGUUUUGUAAGUCAUUAAAAAAUACGUUACCAGGAUGAACUCUGGGAGGAAAUUUUAUGGAAGCAAUAUUUACUAUUUGAAGAAUUUCAAUUCUGAGUCCUAAAAGAGCCUCCCAAGCAUCAAGACUGGAAGUAGCUGCAAAAGGAAUAAUAACUUUCAAUAUUGGUGUCCAUGUUUUACUGGGGCUGGGUCUCUCAUUGGCUUCCUCAUCAGAACGUAAAAACAUGAGAUUGUCUCAGCUUUCUUACAGUGUCACAAAAUUAGGGACUACUUAAUACUGCUGAGCACAGGAGACUGACAGUGCUUGCUUUGGGAACUGGCACCUGGUGUAGUGGCCAUAACACUAUGUUCAGGGAUGCCCUUAGUCUAGAUAUUCUGCCAUGCUUCUAAAACUGUGUGCAUCCACGUAUGUUUAUUGUGGCAUUGUUCACAAUAGCAAAGAUCUGGAACCAACCUAACUGCCCAUCAGUGACAUACUGGAUAAAGAAAAUAUGGCAUAUAUAUACCAUGGAAUACUAUGCAGCCAUAAAACAGGAUGAGUUCAUGUCCUUUGCAGGGACAUGGAUGAAGCUGGAAACCAUCAUUCUCAGCAAACUAACACAGGAACAGAAACUAAACACUGCAUGUUCUCACUCAUAAGAAAAGGGAGUUGAACAGUGAGAACACAUGGACACAGGGAGGGGAACAGUACACACCUGGGCCUGUUGGGGGAUGGGGACAAGGAGGAGGAAUAGCAUUAGGAGAAACACCUAAUGUAGAUGAUGGGGUGAUGGGUGCAGCAAACCACCAUGGCACAUGUAUAUCUAGGUAACAAACCUGCAUGUUCUGUAAAUAUACCCCAGAACUUAAAAUACACAUCUAUAUGUAUAUAUCUCUAUCUGUCUAUCAAUCUAUCUCUGUGUGCUUUGAUUUCAGGAUGUUAGAACAUUAUCAGAAGUGGGUAGUUAAUAUGCUUUUGGAGAAAAACCAUAUUAAACAUUUUACUAGAAGCUUUAUUAUACAAAGCAGAGAAUUUGAAAAGCCACACUGUAAUUUAGGAUAGCAUUUGAAUAUUUUGCAUUGUAGCAAGUUUCUCUUCUUUGCAAGAAGUGAGUUUGCUGUGGGGAGAGAAGAAACGUUAUGCUGGCCCUGGACAGCUGGAAACUGAGCAGGUGCUAAUUGCACUGUGCCUCAGUUUCCUCAUUUGUAAAAGAAACAUACUCUGGACUUUAAAAGUUGGCUGUGAAGAGUAGGUUAGACAGGUGUGUAAAGUGCCUAUCACAAGGAGGUGUUUGAAGCCACCUAAUACAUGCCCUGGUUGCUGACCCUUUGCUCAGCUCUUGGUUCCACCUUUCGUAGCUUCUCGAAUCUCAGGUUAUCUCCUGGUUUAGACCAUUUGCAGGGAUCCAAUCUCUCCACUUUGCUUUAUUGCUGGCUCUUUGUCCUGUUCUGAAUUUUGCUUCCUACCCAACUUUGGGUCCCACCAUUGCCCUGACCUUUCCUAGCUCCCUGCGUGCUCCUUGUUAGGGGGAGUGGGUCCUGCUCACUCCUCAACUUUUCUUCCACCCAUCCCGUGAAGGAGUGAGUAGCUUAAUCUGAUGGUGAAUCUGAACAAAAUAAACUGGUAGGCUCAGCUCUAAGACUCGUUUUAUCAUUUGGGAUGAGCUGCCUCCAGGGAGCAGCAGUUUCCUUUAGCGAAAAUUUUUUAUGUGAAAAAUUUGCAAAUCUCUAAACUCCACUGAGCCUCAGUUUUCCUUCUGUAUGAAAACAGGAAACAAUAGAAUCGACUUCAUGGUUCUGUUGGGAGCAUUCCAUGAGUCAGUGUAUGUACAACAUUUGGAGCAAUGCCUGCCCUGGUAGGCCACAGCUGAGUGUUGGCUAACUGUACAUAGCAGUGUAUUCAGAGCUUGCCCAGGGAAGGUGGAGAAGAGCAUCACUUGGGCACUUCAGAGACCCAUUCCUUGGUCCUCCUCCUCUACUGGUACCCUUAAGAAUGGCUUCAGAGCCAGGGCCCUCCUGACCAACCCCCAGCACCUGCCUUGGUCAUGCUUCCCAUGUACGUCCACUUAAUCCACGUGUGUUACUUUUCUAGUCUUCAGAUAGAGUAUGAUCUCUGCUGGAGGAGAAGGGAGCAAAAUGAAAUUGGAGUAUUUGCCUCCUCCUCUCAUCAGUUACCAUCAUCCCAUCCCCCGAGACCACGGGCUGCCUCCUACUCAUUCAUGUUAUUAAUUCAAAGAGUGCUAGGAUUCUCCAUCUGUGUUUUUCCCCAGCUUUCAAAAACUUUUGCCUGCUUUGGAUUUCAACCUUCAGGAAUCGUUCUUGCAGAUAUGAACCACUGGUUGCUAAUAAUCUUUGGUCAUUGAUUUUCCGUUGUUUCUUAGUAGCCUCUUUUGAGAGCACCCCACCCCUUUUAACCCUUCAAUAGCUAUUUACUAUCCGAUCCCCUUUCUCAUUUGGGAAAUCUUUAUUGACCAAUGGCUAUGGGCUGGGUGUUUAUGGGAAGGUAAGAUAACUAACUGCCCCAGAAGGAUUUGUAGUCCAGUGGUGCUUAAACCGUGCUCCACAGUGCCCUAUGUGCCCUCUAGAGGCCCCUCAGAAGUCACCCAUAGAGAUUCUGUGUGUGUGUGUGUGUGUGUCUGUGUGUGUGUGUGUGUGUGUGUCUGUGUGUGUGUGUGUGUGUGUGUGUGUGUGUCGGGGGUUGGUUCUGAGUGGGUGGGGUCUUACCCUACUCCCAGUGUCAGUCCAGAACUGCUUUGUUUUCCUUUCUUUUGCAUAUUGAGCUUCUGAGUAAGAUUUCAUCCAAAGAAAGGAUUGCACUGUUAAAAAAAAAAGUUGAAAAACCAUUGACCUAAUUUUUUCCACUGAAUUUCUUCGACAUGGCUUUUUAUAGUGGUUUGACCCUCCCAGCUUGUGUUUGGCCAACAGAAUGACAGAGCUAUCUGGCCAAUGUCUUGAUACCAGUCACCUACAGACUCAACCAGAGAGGACCUCUGAAGCUGUCCCUUCAGCAAGUGACGCUUACCUUUUGUAUUGGAGAAAAAUGUUUUGUGGUCAAGUUUAGUAUUAUUCGCAAUAGUAAGUAAAUAAAGAAUUUGUUGGGGGGAGGUACCACACAUAAAUUGACUCUGAAGGCAGUCUCAAAAGAGUUUCAAAAAUAUUUUAGGCAGUGUCAACACUAUUGAAAUACACUUAUGGCCCCUAAAAAUACUAGAAGCUCUAAAAUAAGCUCUAAGUUGUUUUGUAGGACCUGUAAUAUCAAACUCUAACUUUCCAAAGGACAGGGGACUGGACUUUGCUUUAACUUUGUGGUGCGUUUGUUAUGGCAAAAACCCAGGGAUCUAGGAUAAUCAGGGGCUGAUGGCUCAAUCACUGAUCUAUAGAGAUGCAUCUAACAUAACCAAUCAAUACCUGGCUCAUUCUGUUUUUAUAAAGAUAUUUAAGCAAUUCACAUGUUUGCAUGAUCAUAGAGCAUUUCUGGAAGAUGUUCUAGCAUGUUAGCUUCAUACAGCAAGUCUUAUGUUUUUAUUAUUUGUUCACUAAUGUGGUCAAAGGUGAUGCCUGGCAUGUAAUACAUUUUUAAUC